rnacentral:rRNA from 1 species
GGCGAACGCUGGCGGCGUGCUUAACACAUGCAAGUCGAACGGAAAGGCCCCUUUGGGGGUCCUCGAGUGGCGCACGGGUGAGUAACACGUGAGUAACCUGCCCUUGACUUCGGGAUAACUUCAGGAAACUGGGGCUAAUACCGGAUAGGAAUCCUUGCUGCAUGGUGGGGGUUGGAAAGCUUCGGCGGUUUUGGAUGGACUCGCGGCUUAUCAGCUUGUUGGUGGGGUAGUGGCUUACCAAGGCUUUGACGGGUAGCCGGCCUGAGAGGGCGACCGGCCACAUUGGGACUGAGAUACGGCCCAGACUCCUACGGGAGGCAGCAGGGGGGAAGAUUGCACAAUGGGCGGAAGCCUGAUGCAGCAACGCCGCGUGCGGGAUGACGGCCUUCGGGUUGUAAACCGCUUUCAGCAGGGGCGAAGCUUGUGGUGACGGUACCUGCAGAAGAAGCACCGGCUAACUACGUG